rnacentral:rRNA from 1 species
UCGAGCGAACGGACGAGAAGCUUGCUUCUCUGAUGUUAGCGGCGGACGGGUGAGUAACACGUGGAUAACCUACCUAUAAGACUGGGAUAACUUCGGGAAACCGGAGCUAAUACCGGAUAAUAUUUUGAACCGCAUGGUUCAAAAGUGAAAGACGGUCUUGCUGUCACUUAUAGAUGGAUCCGCGCUGCAUUAGCUAGUUGGUAAGGUAACGGCUUACCAAGGCAACGAUGCAUAGCCGACCUGAGAGGGUGAUCGGCCACACUGGAACUGAGACACGGUCCAGACUCCUACGGGAGGCAGCAGUAGGGAAUCUUCCGCAAUGGGCGAAAGCCUGACGGAGCAACGCCGCGUGAGUGAUGAAGGUCUUCGGAUCGUAAAACUCUGUUAUUAGGGAAGAACAUAUGUGUAAGUAACUGUGCACAUCUUGACGGUACCUAAUCAGAAAGCCACGGCUAACUACGUGCCAGCAGCCGCGGUAAUACGUAGGUGGCAAGCGUUAUCCGGAAUUAUUGGGCGUAAAGCGCGCGUAGGCGGUUUUUUAAGUCUGAUGUGAAAGCCCACGGCUCAACCGUGGAGGGUCAUUGGAAACUGGAAAACUUGAGUGCAGAAGAGGAAAGUGGAAUUCCAUGUGUAGCGGUGAAAUGCGCAGAGAUAUGGAGGAACACCAGUGGCGAAGGCGACUUUCUGGUCUGUAAC